GGAUUAGAUACCCUGGUAGUCCACACCGUAAACGAUGAAUGCUAGUUGCACGGCUCAUUUGCAUGCUGUGUGACGCAGUUAACGCAUUAAGCAUUCCGCCUGGGGAGUACGGUCGCAAGAUUAAAACUCAAAGGAAUUGACGGGGGCCCGCACAAGCGGUGGAGUAUGUGGUUUAAUUCGACGCAACGCGCAGAACCUUACCCAGUCUUGACAUCCCUGGAACCCCAUAGAGAUAUGGUUUCCACCCUAACCGGUGGUCAGGUGACAGGUGCUGCAUGGCUGUCGUCAGCUCGUGCCG
rnacentral:rRNA from 1 species